GGAGAGAUGGCAGAGUUUGGUCGAUUGCGCUCGACUCGAAAUCGAGUGACCUUCUGAAAAGAAGGUCCGUGAGUUCGAAUCUCACUCUCUCCGCCA
rnacentral:tRNA from 1 species